CACCAGUGUGCUGAGCAGUUCGCAGCAGCAGUUCUGUCUGACGAGGGCGUCGCGCGGCCGAGGUCCUGAGGUCUUGGGUCUUUAUAUCUGAUACAACUCUGCCCACCAUCUUCCACAAACCAUAUACUAGAGCAUCCUACCUUGCAGAGUGCCUGUAUCCUAUAAAGGACCAAGGUGCGAAGAUGCUGCAUGUGACAGAGCUUUUGGAUGUUGUGAAGAAAGCCCACAUCUUUCAUCUAUGCAGUCAAGAUGAGAAUCCAGAAACUAGUCCCACAAGAAACCCGGGAGUUCUGGACAACUCUCAUCAACAGUUUAAGCAUUUUCAGUAUUUGUCACUGACUGGGCCUCACCAAGCUGUGAGCCAGAUCCAGGUGCUUUGCCGACGGUGGCUGCAGCCAGAGACCCACACAAAGGAACAGAUAAUAGAGCGACUAGUGCUGGAGCAGUUUCUGAGUACCCUGCCAGAGGAGAUUCAGAAAUGGGUGAGGUCAAAGCAGCCGGAGAACAGCAGCGAGGCAGGCAUGCUGGUGGCAAACUUGAUUCAGGCAUGUGAGGAUCCAGGUGAGACAGCUUCCCCUGCUCAGGACUCCAUCCUCGCAGAAAAUAAGAACACCAAAAGAAGAAUACAGAGGCAUUAGACAAACCACCCUCUGCUGGG